rnacentral:rRNA from 1 species
AGCUCCAAUAGCGUAUAUUAAAGUUGUUGCAGUUAAAAAGCUCGUAGUUGGAUCUCAGAUCCAGGCUUGCGGUCCACUCCUUGGUGGCUACUGCUCGUCCUGAUCUACCUCCCGGUUUUACCCUUGGUGCUCUUGAUUGAGUGUCUCGGGUGGCCGGAACAUUUACUUUGAAAAAAUUAGAGUGUUCAAAGCAGGCAGCUCGCCUGAAUAAUGGUGCAUGGAAUAAUGGAAUAGGACCUCGGUUCUAUUUUGUUGGUUUUCGGAACUUGAGGUAAUGAUUAAGAGGGACAGACGGGGGCAUUCGUAUUACGGUGUGAGAGGUGAAAUUCUUGGAUCGCCGUAAGACGAACUACUGCGAAAGCAUUUGCCAAGAAUGUUUUCA